rnacentral:misc_RNA from 1 species
CAAAAGUUGAAGCUAGGCAGAACAAUGCCCUUACAGUUCAGGAUCUAAAGAUUCUUAACCCUUCUGAUUUUCCUGAGAGUCUAUUCGAGGACUCAUAAGACAAAAUUGCCAGGUAAAGUUGUCCCUUAUGACACCCAUAUAAAUGUAUGACAUGUGCUAAAAUUGCUAUAAAGACAACCUGAGCACCUUCAGCUACCAGUCCAAUCAAUAACCAAAAUUAAAAAACAUGUAUUCUUGCAAAUCAAGUGAAUAGCAAGGAUUCAGUUUAUGAUAAUCCAUCGAUGAUGCAUGUGGGAAACCAAUUACCAAUGGAGUUGCAGAAUAGUGGAUACGAUACAUCAAUUACAGAAAUUAAAAAGGUAUUUAUGGCUUUGAAGACCAAGAAGGCAAUUACAGAAGUCAAAAAGUGUCCAUGUCGCUGAGGAUGAAGAAUUUGAAUCAUUCUAGAUCAAUUAUCCCGAAAUUGGAGAGAAGGAUCUUUACUUGAUCAACAAAGUCUGAGCCUGUAGCAUACUCUGUUAGCAUCCCAACAGCAAAACCAAACAUUGCCCAUCUGUUUGGCCACAAAAAAAGGACACAUCAAAUCAAAAGGGCUUAUUAUGCUCGUCAAACUAUUGCUCAACAUAAGCUAACUUAAUCUAAGAAUGUGAAAUUCAGCAAAGCUAAACAAGUAGCUAAGAGAGGAACUACGAAGAUUUACUUUAGGAUACAAGGCGAUUGAUCAUAAAAUGUUCAUUAUAUAAAAAUCCUCAACUGCAUUUCAUGGCAGAUUCUUACCUAUCCAGUCCAAAUAUAGAAACAUUCAAUUCUCAUAUUUUAGAAGAAGCAAAAUGAUGUGCCAGAGUGAAUUUCUUUUAUUACAAAAAAUGACUUUAUUUAUGUCAGUAGAUGACCAAUUGUUACUGCUUCGCAUAAACCUCACAAAGAAUUUAUGUUCUAACUUUACAACCACAUGCAGAAACUACUAUAAAUCUUUAUGAUAGAAUAGGGUUCCUACCACCCUGGUAGUACAAUGGAUGGUAAUAUCACUUUAGUUUCUCUUGAGGACAAACAAUGAUCAUGACAGCAUCCAAAGUCAUUAGGAAUUACUUCCUCGCUUUGGACUUCACUUAGAAGAGGAUGGGCAACCAGACAAUUUGGUUGAUGUUCUUAGAAUUCAUCUUCACUUUGAAUCAUUUAUCCCAACAAUGGAUUUAAGCUAUGUAGGACAUCCAUCACUAAUGAAACAAUGCAAAAAGGCAACACAGAUUAAAUAAUUGCAAAAAAUUCACGCCACGACGGGGAAGCCAUAAAUUAAUCAGCUAUUAGAAACAACAUGUUGGUUUAAAUUUCUAAAUUUAAUCCAUUACUGUGCAUUCAAUCAUAAAGCUUUGUCCAUUAUUGAAAUAUAUCCUGGUUCUGGCACAGAUAAUUGCAAAGGAAAUAACCAAUCAAAUUCAGUCUCCCUGUUGACCCAUCUGAGUUCAAUCUUAAAAGGUUAGAAUCCUAAAACAGAGGUUUCCUUACAGAAGACCCAAAUCAGGAAGUCAGAGUCCGCUAUCCUUUCAGAAAGUAAUGUAUUUUUGUUAGUCCAUAACUCAAAUACUAAAGGGUUUGAGGAGCACAACUGCUAUACUUCUAGGAUUUUUAUAAUGGCGUAUUGCUGCCUCGAGAGUCACUAACAGUUACUAAGAGAGGAAUAAAGCCUAGAAAAGAACAGCAAUGGAAUGAGAUGGUAGCAGGAGGAAAGAGCAAACUGCUGCCAUGCAGAAGGUACAUAAAAGGGUGCAAAAUGCAAAUUGCCCCAAAAGAGAAGGAGGAGAACAAAAGUGAGGUGAGGUUUGGGAGCUGCCUGCCACUAAUUACAUUGAUAUCUAGUGGACAAUGGUUAGGGGACGCAAUGUCUAAAAUUGAGUAGAAAAAAGUUUUUGAGUUCAUGAAUAAGUUUCAGGAUUGCUUCCUAGGGCUUAGGAUUUUGGUUGAAACUAGCUGUGCUGGUACAUAUUAUGGCAGAGCUCAUAUCAAUUGUUUUCCUUCUAUUUUGUGAAUCACACAAAUCGAAGGAGAAGCAAUUCAAUUUUAACAAUUAAAAUAUGAGAAAAAAAAAUACCAAAAGCCCCAAAAUCCACAAUAAAUCUUAGCUUAGCUAAGCUCAAUCCAACUAAUUAAUCCACAUAAACCCAGAUAACAAAACUUGAUUUUAAAUGGUAUUACCUCCCAUUUGCAAUCUCAUUCUUGCUAAGGAAUCCAAAGAAAGGACCCUGAUCUGACUCCUCAAGUUUCUUUUGCUUAAAAUACUCCUGAAGCUCCUUAGCCUUUUGCCUCUGAAACUCUAAGGUGAUCACAUUCUUAUCAUCCAAAGCCACCUGAGCAGCCGGCUUGGGUGGUGGAACCACAGGAGAAGAUGGUGAAGAGGGAGGCAUAGGCUUCAAGGCAGGUGAGGGAGUUGGUGGAGAGGGUUCUCUAAGAGGAGGGGCAACAGGUCUCCUUACGGGCCCUUCAGCUUGAGAGCUCCUGAUGGUCAAAGAACAAGGCUUUGUUAGUGUGGAAAAUCUAAAACAAUAGGAGGUGGAAGUUGUUGAUGAAGAGGAAGAUGGAGGAGAGGAGCAUGAUGAUGAUGAUGAUGAUGGGUUUGGGAUUCUUAUGCAAGGUAUUGAGGAGGCCACUGACAUCUUCCUCUUUCUUUCUCAAGUCCCUGUAGCUAUAGAUUUCUUGUUGGUGGGUUUUGGGUACGCGGGCGUGCUAUCAGAAUCAGAAGAUAUGUGUGUGGAAGAGGUGUGGCCAAGUCCCCAGCGGCGAAGAUGGUACCAGUUGGCUUGCCGAUUAGAGGAGAGAUGAUUUUGGCGCCUCACGUCCAGUCAAAGCGUGUGAAUUUUUGUUUUUGUCGAAAGCGUGUGAAGUUUAAACACUAAAAUUUGUGAAAGGUAAUUAAUGUUUGUGUCUGACGCGCAAUAAAUGCGAGUGGAAAUAGCAUUCCCUCCCAUCCCCUUCAAUUUGGGUCCUAAAUUGACUACGAAACAAUGCAAGUGUUCCUGGAACGAGCACUUCAGAGAACGGUUCCUGGAU